GUGGGGAAUUUUGCGCAAUGGGCGAAAGCCUGACGCAGCGACGCCGCGUGGGGGAAGAAGGCCUUCGGGUUGUAAACCCCUUUCGUGAGGGAAAAAGUCCCGGGCAACCGGGAUGAUGGUACCUCAGGAAGAAGCCACGGCUAACUCUGUGCCAGCAGCCGCGGUAAGACAGAGGUGGCAAGCGUUGUUCGGAUUUACUGGGCUUAAAGGGCGUGUAGGUGUCCUGAUAAGUCAGAUGUGGAAGCCUUGGGCUUAACCCAAGAAUUGCAUUUGAAACUGUCAGGAUUGAGUCGUGCAUGGGAGGGCGGAAUUCCUGGUGUAGCGGUGAAAUGCGUAGAUAUCAGGAGGAAGGCCGGUGGUGAAGAUGGCCCUCUGGGCAAUGACUGACACUGAGGCGCGAAAGCGUGGGUAGCAAACAGGAUUAGAAACCCUAGUAGUCC
rnacentral:rRNA from 1 species